rnacentral:rRNA from 1 species
AUUGAACGCUGGCGGCAGGCCUAACACAUGCAAGUCGAGCGAGCGGAGGACGGGUGAGUCAUGUAUGGGGACUGCCCGUUAGAGGGGGAUAAAUACUGGAAACGGUGGCUAAUACCGCAUAUUGCCGGAUAUCCCAUAUGGGAGUAGCUAGUAGGUAAGGUAAUGGCGUACCUCGGCGACGAUCCCUAGCUGGUCUGAUAGGAUGAUCAGCCACACUGGGACUGAGACACGGCCCAGACUCCUACGGAGGCAGCAGUGGGGAAUAUUGCACAAUGGGCGCAAGCCUGAUGCAGCCAUGCCGCGUGUAUGAAGAAGGCCCUAGGGUUGUAAAGUACUUUCAGUCGGGAGGCGUUACCGACAGAAGAAGCACCGGCUAACUCCGUGCCAGCAGCCGCGGUAAUAC